rnacentral:rRNA from 1 species
AUGGAACCUAACCACAACGGCUACGGCUACGGCUACUACGACAACAACAAUGGAUCCUAUACAAAUGAUGACAACCCAUGCUACUACGCCAUGAGCUAUGCCACUUCCGAGCCCUCCUCCUAUGGCUACCAAUACCAGCAGUCUCCUUCCACCCAGCCCCAGUCCUCCUACGACAACCACUACUAUGCCGCGAGUAAAUUGCUCAAAGCCACCACAUUUGUGGCGGCCCAGUCCUACGCAGCCGACGACGACAUUGCUCCUUACCCGCAGCAGCAGCAGCCACAGUACCUCAAUUUCGGCGGCAGCAGCUAUCAGUACGAUGGUGCCGCGAGUGCUAUGGGCAUGGGCAUGGACAUGGACCAGUUCAGCGCGCUCAUGGAGGCCACGUCGAUCUCACCUGCUGCACCAUCCUGGGCGGAGCAGCACGAGGCAAAGAAGGCCAACGCCGAGUCUCCGCAGCUGAUCGGCGUGCGGAGGGGGCCGUGGGGCAAGUACGCCGCGGAGAUCCGGGACUCCACGCGCAGCGGCGAGCGCGUGUGGCUGGGCACCUUCGACACCCCGGAGGCCGCUGCGCUGGCCUACGACCAGGCGGCCUACACGUCGCGCGGAACUGCGGCCGUGCUCAAUUUCCCGGUGGAGCGAGUCCGGGAGUCGCUGCGCGUGCUGAAGCUCGGCGAAGCCGCGGACGCGGGGAAGGACGACUCGCCUGUGCUGGCGCUCAAGAGGCGCCACUGCAUCCGGAAGCGCACUCCCAAGGGCAAGGGCCAGGGUGACAUGAAGAAGAAGCAACCUGCUGCUGCUGCUGCGUCGAGCGUGCUGGAGCUGGAGGACCUAGGAGCAGACUACUUGGAAGAGCUGCUCGCGUUGUCCGAG